rnacentral:tRNA from 1 species
GCCGGAGUGGUGGAAUGGCAGACGCGCCGGACUCAAAAUCCGGUGUCCUUCGGGACGUGUGGGUUCAACUCCCACCUCCGGCACCA